CUGGUAGUCCAUGCCGUAAACGAUGAGCGCUAGGUGUUGGGGACUUUCCGGUCCUCAGUGCCGCAGCAAACGCAUUAAGCGCUCCGCCUGGGGAGUACGACCGCAAGGUUGAAACUCAAAGGAAUUGACGGGGGCCCGCACAAGCGGUGGAGCAUGUGGUUUAAUUCGAAGCAACGCGAAGAACCUUACCAGGUCUUGACAUCCUGAGACCGUUAUAGAGAUAUAAUUUUCCCUUCGGGGACUCAGAGAC
rnacentral:rRNA from 1 species